GGGCCCGCACAAGCGGUGGAACAUGUGGUUUAAUUCGACGCAACGCGAAGAACCUUACCUGGGUUUGACAUCCCCGGCCGACACCAGAGAUGGUGUUUUCUCUUCGGAGACCGGGUGACAGGUGCUGCAUGGCUGUCGUCAGCUCGUGUCGUGAGAUGUUGGGUUAAGUCCCGCAACGAGCGCAACCCUUGCCCUCAGUUGCCAGCAGUUCGGCUGGGCACUCUGGGGGGACUGCCGGUGACAAGCCGGAGGAAGGUGGGGAUGACGUCAAGUCCUCAUGGCCUUUAUAUCCAGGGCUACACACGUGUUACAAUGGGGGUCACAAAGGGCAGCGAAACGGUGACGUGGAGCGAAUCCCAAAAAAGCCCUCUCAGUUCGGAUCGCAGUCUGCAACUCGACUGCGUGAAGCUGGAAUCGCUAGUAA
rnacentral:rRNA from 1 species